GACGAACGCWGGCGGCGUGGAUUAGGCAUGCAAGUCGAACGGUAGAUAUUCCUUCGGGGAUAUUGAGAGUGGCGAACGGGUGAGUAACACGUAGAUGAUCUACCCUCAAAUGGGGGACAACCCAGGGAAACUUGGGCUAAUACCGCAUGAGUGUGGCGCAUAAAUUAUCUUUUUUAGAAUGGGGUAAUUUAUGCGCUACAUAAAAGGUGGCCUUCGGGCUGUCGUUUGAGGAUGAGUCUGCGUCCUAUUAGUUAGUUGGUGAGGUAAUGGCUCACCAAGGCGAUGAUAGGUAGGCGGCCUUAACGGGUGGUCGCCCACACUGGGAUUGAGAUACGGCCCAGACUCCUACGGGAGGCAGCAGUCGAGAAUAGUCUACAAUGGACGAAAGUCUGAUAGUGCGACGCCGCGUGAACGAAGAAUCCCUUCGGGGUGUAAAGUUCUUUUAUAUGUGAGCAAUGCUUUUUAUGUGAAUAGCAUGAGAAGAGAGAUAUUAGCAUAUGAAUAAGCAACGGCUAACUCCGUGCCAGCCGCCGCGGUAAUACA
rnacentral:rRNA from 1 species